UAGCUCGAUCGGUAGAGUGCUGGACUGGUGUGCCAGAGGACCUGGGUUCAAACCCCAG
rnacentral:tRNA from 1 species